CGCAAUGCCCGUUAUUGUGUUACCUAGCAAUAAAACCUAAACAAACCUGUGUAAUUUCCUCUACAUUUUGUGUGGUUAGUUCAGAGAUGUAUUCGAAAUGUUGUAGCUAACUAGCUAAGUGCUAAGCUAACUUGAGUGGGUAAAGUCGUUUUGUCAUUUUCACCCUAACCAGGUUGAAAAAAGGAAACCACACCAUCCUUCACAUUAAUGUGGCAGAUUCAAUGGAGGCUGAUCUGUACUCCAGUUUUGAGAGGAUACGUGUUUUCAUUGCUGUCCCGGUGGCUGGUCCCAGAUGAUCCUGCAG